AGUAACGCGUGAGGAACCUGCCUCAAAGAGGGGGACAACAGUUGGAAACGACUGCUAAUACCGCAUAAGCCCACGGUGCCGCAUGGCACAGAGGGAAAAGGAGCAAUCCGCUUUGAGAUGGCCUCGCGUCCGAUUAGCUAGUUGGUGAGGUAACGGCCCACCAAGGCGACGAUCGGUAGCCGGACUGAGAGGUUGAACGGCCACAUCGGGACUGAGACACGGCCCAG
rnacentral:rRNA from 1 species